GGCGGUUGAGUGUCGAUAGCGGGUGGUUGAUCGUUAAAAAUAAUUGUAGUUUUUUGUAGUUUUUGGAAGCGAUUCUGAUUAAAUUGCAUUAAUUACUGUUGAUAAUCCAUUUUGAUAGUGUCUGGCGUAGCGCUAUUACUUCGAACAAAAUUUAUUUAAUUAAAAAAUCGACAUGACACUGGCAAAUCAUUUGGAAGCCAA